rnacentral:lncRNA from 1 species
ACCAAACACCCCAUGCUUUUACCAAAUAAUCAUAUUGUUGUAAAAUCAUUGUUUGAAUAUACGCAUCGAAGCAACAUGCAUGUCGGAGCACAAGCGUUAUGUGCUUUUGUCCGACAGCGUUUUUGGGUCAUCAAUGCUAGAAAACUAGCUCCCAGCACGAUAAGGAGUUGCAUUGCAUGUUUUCGCCAACGUCCAAUAUUAGCUACGCAAAUUAUGGGUUCCUUACCAGCAAGCCGAGUGCAGCAAGGAGUGAAGGCCUUUGAACGUACUGGACUCGACUACGCUGGACCGCUAUGGAUGCACUUCAACCAAAGAGGACGGCGGCCUAUCAAGGUUUAUCUGUGCGUUUUUGUGUGCUUUUUGAGCAAGGCUUGCCAUCUAGAGCUUGUAUCAGACCUGAGCACCAACGCAUUUUUAGGCGCACUCAAACGAUUUUUUGCUCGGCGUGGGAUCAGCGCAGAGCUGUUCUGUGACAAUGCCACCAAUUUUGUUGGUGCUUCACGGGAGCUGAAGGCAAUAGCGGAUUUGAUCUGGAAUGACAGUGGCAAGCACCAAAUUGUGGAUCAGUGCAGCCAACUCGGUGUCAAUUUUCAUUUUAUCCCACCUCGAUCGCCGCAUUUUGGAGGACUAUGGGAGAGCGCAGUAAAGGUAGCGAAGCAAUUGUUGGUGCGAAGUUUCAAUAGCACAGCGCUUAACUACGAGGAACUGGUCACGGCGAUAGCACAAGCAGAGGCAGUGAUGAACUCACGACCGCUUCACCCACUUUCGUCGGACAGUAAUGACUACGAGGCAUUGACGCCGGGUCAUUUCUUAAUUGGUCGACCAUUGAACUGCAUGCCUGAGCCAUUUGAUGAGGACAUUUUGAAGUUAUCUGCUGCUAAUCGAUGGAAAAGAAUCGUCGCAGUACAC